rnacentral:rRNA from 1 species
UGACCUCGAGUCAGGUAAGGAUACCCGCUGAACUUAAGCAUAU